AGCGAACGCUGGCGGCAGGCUUAACACAUGCAAGUCGAGCGGGCAUAGCAAUAUGUCAGCGGCAGACGGGUGAGUAACGCGUGGGAACGUACCUUUUGGUUCGGAACAACACAGGGAAACUUGUGCUAAAACCGGAUAGGCAUAUGGAAGGCAUCUUCGAUAUGUUAAAGGGGCCACGGCCCUGGACAUGGAUGGACCUGCGGUGCAUUAGCCAGUUGGUGAGGUAACGGCCCACCAAGGCGACGAUGCAUAGCCGACCUGAGAGGGCGAACGGCCACAUUGGGACUGAGACACGGCCCAA
rnacentral:rRNA from 1 species